rnacentral:rRNA from 1 species
GAUGAACGCUGGCGGCGUGCCUAAUACAUGCAAGUCGAGCGAACAGACGAGGAGCUUGUUCCUCUGACGUUAGCGGCGGACGGGUGAGUAACACGUGGAUAACCUACCUAUAUGACUGGGAUAAUUUCGGGAAACCGGAGCUAAUACCGGAUAAUAUAUUGAACCGCAUGGUUCAAUAGUGAAAGACGGUUUUGCUGUCACUUAUAGAUGGAUCCGCGCCGCAUUAGCUAGUUGGUAAGGUAACGGCUUACCAAGGCAACGAUGCGUAGCCGAACUGAGAGGGUGAUCGGCCACACUGGAACUGAGACACGGUCCAGACUCCUACGGGAGGCAGCAGUGGGGAAUCUUCCGCAAUGGGCGAAAGCCUGACGGAGCAACGCCGCGUGAGUGAUGAAGGUCUUCGGAUCGUAAAACUCUGUUAUUAGGGAAGAACAAAUGUGUAAGUAACUAUGCACGUCUUGACGGUACCUAAUCAGAAAGCCACGGCUAACUACGUG